rnacentral:rRNA from 1 species
GAACCAGACUCCUACGGGAGGCAGCAGUGGGGAAUAUUGCACAAUGGGGGAAACCCUGAUGCAGCGACGCCGCGUGAGCGAUGAAGUAUUUCGGUAUGUAAAGCUCUAUCAGCAGGGAAGAAAAUGACGGUACCUGACUAAGAAGCCCCGGCUAACUACGUGCCAGCAGCCGCGGUGAUACGUAGGGGGCAAGCGUUAUCCGGAUUUACUGGGUGUAAAGGGAGCGUAGACGGCGAUGCAAGCCAGAUGUGAAAGCCCGGGGCUCAACCCCGGGACUGCAUUUGGAACUGUAUAGCUAGAGUGUCGGAGAGGCAGGCGGAAUUCCUAGUGUAGCGGUGAAAUGCGUAGAUAUUAGGAGGAACACCAGUGGCGAAGGCGGCCUGCUGGACGAUGACUGACGUUGAGGCUCGAAAGCGUGGGGAGCAAACAGGAUUAGAUACCCGUGUA